UAACAAUAAAGAAAAGAAAUGACUAAUGAGAUAUAGCUUAAUGGUACUGAAGUCAUCCAUAGUAUUAUGGGGUUUUGAGUUUGAGUAUCAGUCGGAGCUCUCAAUAUACCCAAAAAUAAAGAAAAGAAAUUAUUGGAAAUGGUUAUGAACACACUACUCCAAGUUUUCCUCAAAAUCUAAAGAACAUGAGCUAACCGGAAGAGAGAGAGAAUUGAACAGUGAAAAAGACUAUCUCGGUAACACUACGACUAAAUAAAUGAUACUAUUAUCAUCUUCAAAUCAAUCCUACAACAUAAUACAUAACAAAUCCCAAGCACAGGCAUUUUGUUUAGAAGAAUAAAAAAGGUCUUGGCAGUGAUGACAAUGGCAAUGACAAAUGCAAUAAUAACAAUCCUUUAUUCCCUAUUUUUUCUUUCCCCUCCACGCACACUUCUAACAAAAGUAGUUGUUGACAAAGAAAGAUGGAUGCACACUAAUACCUAAAAUGAAAUGUUGUGUCCCAUCCUACCUGCUGCUUUCCCCAUUGAUAGGUUUCUCUUCUUUAUGCACUUCAAAGUUGUUAAUGACAUUGGAUUCCACCCUAGGAGGACCAGAAUACCUCCUUGGUCCAGCUGGGGAAGCAGAGAAAGAAAGCCGCUUCUUUACAGAACCCGCGGAUGCCUUUUCUGGUGUCCCAUUCUUCCCUAUUCCUAAGGGGCUUGGCAACCGGGAUUUUGCCUUUGCUGACUGUGUGGGUGUCAUGUAACUUGGAACUGAGGGUGAGCUAGCUAGGCUCUCAUCAUCUCUCACCGAUGAACCUGCUAUGCUGUGCCUCCGACAUCGCUCAGAUUGGACACUGAACAAACUCCUUGAGUCAUCAUCCCCACCCCAACCGCUCCCUCUUGGACUUGGUGACUUCGCUUUCCCUGUUACUGAUGAUAUAGAAGGCGCUUUGGAAGGAGUAGUUGAAGGAGAUUGACGACUGGAAGGUCGGCUUGAUAUUUGGACACCAUGUGAAGGCUUAUUAUCACGGUUGAGAUCACGACGAGAGUAAGCUCUGCUGAUUUCACCAAUAGACAUGGCACGACUUGUUGAGCUUUUGACAGAAGAAAGAUCAUUAUUAUCUAUUGUGCUCCGGCUCCCCCAAGGCCGGGCUGCCAUCCAUCUUUCUAACCAACUCCAACCCCAGUUAGGAUUAUUUGGAUCCAUAAACGUUGGAUUUGCUGAUUUUGAAAAGUUCUUCCAUGUUUGCUGAUGAGAGAAUGCAUAAGCCAAUGCCCUUUCUCUUCUCAUAGCAGACUCUUGCUUGUGCAGUAAGUUUGCUUCAAUUUGCUCCUUUGACUGCAUGCUAUCAUCCCAAUUUUCUCCAAUAGCAUCUCUCAACUUCUCUAGCUCUUUCUCACGUUUUUGUUGGAGCUGCCACUGUAUGGCGUUGUUGUCCUCUGACACUUUGAUCCUCCUUGCAUGAAUUUGAGACUGCACACGAGCAAGAGUCUUCAUUGCCCGUAAGGUGUUAGUCGCUUGCCGUUUGACAGAUUGGCCUUGUAUUAACUUCUUUAAUCUCACCAACCCUCUCAAAGCUCGCAAUGCCCUCCUUGCCAAGUAUCCUCUAAACGCCGUUUGAAUUUUGAUAGCAGCUAUUUCCUCCCUUGAAUUUCCAGAAUAACGGGCCACACUAGUGAGCCGAACAACCUCAGCAGCAGCAUGGGCAGCAGCAACAGCUGCCUCAGCAGCCGUAGCAGUAGCAAGUGCCACAGAAUAUGCAUGCUUGCUCUGCUCAUUCUCAGCUUCAGUUAAUUUCACAUUUUCUAAAGGGGCAAGAAGAGGAAGAGGAGGCGGUGGCGGUGGAGGUGGAGGAGGGGCAGGAAUUGCUAAUGCAGUAGUUUCUUCAUAUUUAGAAACAACCGGAUCUAGAUUACUCUCUCGAUUCUUUGAUUUGGAUUUCUUAGGACUGAGAGCUUUCUUCAAAGCAGAGAACCAAGUCCCCUUUUUCCCCAUUUCUUAGUCAUUCAUGUGGCUUGGCUAAACAUGAAAUUUCAAACCCAAGUGAGAUUAAACCAUAAAGAAAGAAAAACAAAUGCAUAACAGUUCAAACAUAUUGAACACAAAGUUGAAUUACAUCAAAAGAGAAAACAAGGAAAGUUAAUAAUCAAACUGCAGAUGGAAAACCACAAAAAAAACUUUGGCAACUCAGCCUCAAAAUGUUUUUGAGGGGAAAACAAACAAUACUUGGAAAUUAGAUCUAUCAUAAGCAAUUAAUAAAACGAUUAAAAAGGGAAAUAAAUUUAUGAAAUAGCAUUAAACCACCGCUCCUACAGAAAAUGUGGAAACUUUCAACCAGUAACUCAAGAAGAGAAACAAAUGCUCAAUAACCCAGAUUCAAAAUUUGUAAGAUCUUCAUAAAAAACAUAUAACCCAGUUCAGAGUUUCUAAUUUAGAAACAAACCCAGGAAGGCAUAAGCCAACAAGAGUGAACAGCAUGAGACAGCAUUUAAUAAUUGUAUAAAAAAACAAAAAAAAGGCCAAACAAGAGGAGGGAAAAAAAAU
rnacentral:misc_RNA from 1 species